rnacentral:piRNA from 1 species
UGGAUGUAAUUCCUGGUGAGGGUUGG